UACGUAGGGAGCAAGCGUUGUUCGGAUUUACUGGGCGUAAAGGGCGCGUAGGCGGCAAAUUAAGUCAGCUGUGAAAUCUCCGAGCUUAACUCGGAACGGUCAGCUGAUACUGAUCUGCUAGAGUGCGGAAGGGGCAAUCGGAAUUCUUGGUGUAGCGGUGAAAUGCGUAGAUAUCAAGAGGAACACCUGAGGUGAAGACGGGUUGCUGGGCCGACACUGACGCUGAGUGCGCGAAAGCCAGGGGAGCAAACGGGG
rnacentral:rRNA from 1 species